rnacentral:rRNA from 1 species
UUGGAUGGUAGUGUAUUGGACUACCAUGGCAGUCACGGGUAACGGAGAAUUAGGGUUCGAUUCCGGAGAGGGAGCCUGAGAAACGGCUACCACAUCUACGGAAGGCAGCAGGCGCGUAAAUUACCCAAUCCUGAUUCAGGGAGGUAGUGACAAGAAAUAACAACUCGGGCAUUUUUAAUGCUUCGAAUUUGCAAUGGGAACAAUCUAAAUCACUUAUCGAGGAACAAUUGGAGGGCAAGUCUGGUGCCAGCAGCCGCGGUAAUUCCAGCUCCAAUAGCGUAUAUUAAAGUUGUUGCAGUUAAAAAGCUCGUAGUUGAAUUUCUGAUUAUGAAUGUACUGGGUAACCGGUCCAUUUAUAGUCAUCCACAUGAGAACCUAUCUCGGCCUUCACUGGUCGGUUGGGGGAUCAUGUACUUUACUUUGAAAAAAUCAGAGUGUUUCAGGCAGGCGUUUGCAUGAAUACACAAGCAUGGAAUAAUGGAAUAGGACUAGGGUCCAUUUUAUUGGUUAUUGGACCAUAGUAAUGAUUAAUAGGGACAGUUGGGGGCAUUAGUAUUUAAUUGUCAGAGGUGAAAUUCUUGGAUUUAUUAAAGACUAACUUAUGCGAAAGCAUUUGCCAAGGAUGUUUUCAUUAAUCAAGAACGAAAGUUAGGGGAUCAAAGACGAUCAGAUACCGUC